GGAGGAGUGGCCGAGCGGUUGAAGGCACCGGUCUUGAAAACCGGCAGGCCCGGAAGGGUCUCGUGGGUUCGAAUCCCACCUCCUCCGCCA
rnacentral:tRNA from 1 species